AUGAAGUCGGAAUUGCUAGUAAUGGCAGGUCAGCAUACUGCCGUGAAUACGUUCCCGGGCCUUGUACACACCGCCCGUCACACCAUGAGAGUUGGAAAUACCCGAAGCCUGUGAGCUAACAGUAAUGAGGCAGCAGUCGAAGGUAGAGCCAAUGAUUGGGGUGAAGUCGUAACAAGGUAUC
rnacentral:rRNA from 1 species